rnacentral:rRNA from 1 species
UACGUAGGUCCCGAGCGUUGUCCGGAUUUAUUGGGCGUAAAGCGAGCGCAGGUGGUUUAUUAAGUCUGGUGUAAAAGGCAGUGGCUCAACCAUUGUAUGCAUUGGAAACUGGUAGACUUGAGUGCAGGAGAGGAGAGUGGAAUUCCAUGUGUAGCGGUGAAAUGCGUAGAUAUAUGGAGGAACACCGGUGGCGAAAGCGGCUCUCUGGCCUGUAACUGACGUUGAGGCCCGAAAGCGUGGGGAGCAAACAGG